rnacentral:rRNA from 1 species
AUGAUGGCCUGCCGGCUACGGCUCCACCAGCUUAGGCUGGUUGGAGUCCGGCCGACCUGCUGCUUUCCGUCCAGGAACUUGGCGGCUGUCAAAUCCCAGAAAAUCCAGCCCCCAAAGAAGAAAAAGCGAUUGGAUGAGGCGUGCCUUGAGAGGUAUCAACAAUACAGUAGAACGUACAUCCAGUCAUGGAUUCUUCAGGGUAAGGUCCAUGUAAACGGAAGGGUCGUGAACAAAGCUGGAACACAAGUAUCUGACAAGUCAGUCAUAGAAAUCAAGGCUGAAAUCCCGAAAUAUGUAUGUAGGGCUGGGCAUAAGCUUGAGGCAGCUAUCAAAGAAUUUGGAGUUGACUGUGAUGGAAAGAUAGCCCUUGAUUCAGGGCUGUCUACAGGUGGUUUUACCGACUGUUUACUUCAGCAUGGGGCAUCACAUGUGUACGGUGUUGAUGUUGGCUAUGGACAGGUGGCUGAAAAAAUUCGUGUGCAUGAAAAUGUCUCAGUAAUUGAACGUACAAACUUGAGACAUCUUACUAAGCUGCCACAACUGGUUGACCUGGUGACGUUGGACCUAUCAUUCAUCUCAAUUCUUGUGGUUAUGCCUGCAGUGGUCAAAGUAAUGAAGACAGACUCAACAUUGAUAACACUUAUCAAACCUCAGUUUGAAGCUCGUAGAUCUCAGGUAGGAAAAGGUGGGAUUAUUCGAGACCCUCUGGUUCAUAAGGAGGUGUUAGAUAGGAUAAUUUCAGGCGUUGAGCAGUUUGGAUUUCGCAAUGGGGGCUGGAUCGAGUCUCCGCUGAAGGGCGCAGAAGGGAACACAGAGUUUCUUGCCUGCUUCGAGAGGAUCCCAAUGCCAGAGCCACACACUGAGGCAGAAGCAGGGGCAGAGGCAGAGGCAGAGGCGGCGGCGCAGGCGGAGGCAGAGCCAGAGGCAGUGGUUGAAGCACAGGCACAGGCAGAGGCAGAGCCAGAGCCAGAGGAAACAUGA